GACGAACGCUGGCGGCGUGCUUAACACAUGCAAGUCGAACGGAAAGGCCCUGCUUUUGUGGGGUGCUCGAGCGGCGAACGGGUGAGUAACACGUGAGUAACCUGCCCUUGACUUUGGGAUAACUUCAGGAAACUGGGGCUAAUACCGGAUAGGAGCUCCUGCUGCAUGGUGGGGUUUGGAAAGUUUCGGCGGUUGGGGAUGGACUCGCGGCUUAUCAGCUUGUUGGUGGGGUAGUGGCUUACCAAGGCUUUGACGGGUAGCCGGCCUGAGAGGGUGACCGGCCACAUUGGGACUGAGAUACGGCCCAGACUCCUACGGGAGGCAGCAGUGGGGAAUAUUGCACAAUGGGCGGAAGCCUGAUGCAGCAACGCCGCGUGCGGGAUGACGGCCUUCGGGUUGUAAACCGCUUUCGCCUGUGACGAAGCGUGAGUGACGGUAAUGGGUAAAGAAGCACCGGCUAACUACGUG
rnacentral:rRNA from 1 species